UAAGGUUUAACUAAAAUUAUAUUUAUGUAGGUACACAAUUUCAGUACGAUUAAGUUCAAAACGUUCGGAAAUAUAUUAUUAGUACAUUUAAUAUUUUCGGUCCCCCCCUCCCGUACUUUAGUUUAUUUAACAAAUCGAACAAUUAAUGAAUAAUUUUUAGAUUUUUUUAUGUAUCGCAACGUUUGAAACUGUGACGCGACAGCAGGUAUCAUCAGUAUAUAGACGCACAUGUAGGUAUAGAUAAUCUCGACUAAUUAAACAAUAUUUUAAAACGUUUUGAAAUUGUUUAGAAACUAAACACCGCGUGUUGAUAACGAACGACGCCAAAUUAUGUAAAGUGGAGUCCUGUGUCUAUGUUAUAAUCGAAUGUUUAUGAUGUUAUAAUCGAAAAAGGUCAUCUUUAUUG